rnacentral:misc_RNA from 1 species
GUCUUGUGUUUACAUGCUGAGGAUCAAGACGCCAGGGGAAUUACACUGGAAAAAACAAGUACAGUCCCCGGGUUAGAUGUGAUGACAGUGUUGUCCAGUAUGACUCUACCAAAUAUUGCAAGUGUUCUCCAAGCACUCCGGUAUCCUCCUGCAUUAACGUUGAAUCCUUGAAAGGUUCUAUUUAAUGAGUAUGACUACCCAUUAAGGACAGGAGGCAAGCACAGUAUCUACUUGCCCACUACAAUAUAUUAACACUAACUGGCAUUGAAAUCAGCAUUGAUGCACAUGUGAACUCGGAAAUUAAGGCUUGAUGGCUUAAAAGUGUCAAUAUAUCAUUAAAAUAUAUCAAGAAUAAUUUCCACUAACAUUCAAGACAUGGUACAAUGAGCUAGAUAAGAACUUUGAUUGGAGCUGCAGAAGCUGGUGUCAUCUGCUGCACAGUACCCAAAAUGUCGGAUGACAUGCACGCGGGCAGGAACAAUUUCACAGGCACAGAGGGACGUUUGAGUAUCUGCGACUUCUUGAACAGUGUUGUUGCCUCACUAUGCUGUGGAAAACUGUUCUCAAGCUACUAACUUAUUCCCAGGUGGUCUUCCUGACGAUGGACCAACCUUUCAGUGGCUUAGCAUUCUGUGAAGGGUGUAAGGUAAUCCAGUAAUUGCUGGAUGAGAGGAUCAGCAGCUGCUUGGUCACCCUGUACCAUAACAGAACACUCCUUUAUGACAGUGAAAGAAGAUCUCAAGUGGUGGUCCUCCAGCCAGUCAGGCAGUAGAGGACACUGGCAGUUUUACUACCAAAGAUGUACCAACGUAUAGACACUGACAUUGGGGACGAUGAACCGCUGCCACUUGAAAUGGGGUUUGCUACCAGCGAAUGCAGCCCAGCCCAGGGAAAAGACGCCACGGUUUGUUUAUGUUAUGAGAAGGCGCGGGCGACCCAGCAACAGGUGCGUACUGUACCAAGUAUUUUUAGCUCUAUUAGGGUGUGUUUGAAAGGUGGAGAAUAAUGGGUGUUAUGUGAAGAAUGUGAUGAAUGCGUGGGACAGUUUGUAAGCCAGAAUAAGGCUAAUAAAGGCAUUUUUCUACAGACACUCCUCCCCCGCCACCCCUGAAUGAGUCGGCGCCAAGCUGCCACCUCCUUGUUAUGCUGAUGGGUUGGGUUUGUUGUUAUGCACUGUACUGUUUAGUUCCUACUAAUGUGUUGUGCCAAUAUGUGAUCAUGACAACAGUUGAUGCUUGUUAGUAUGUACAAUGGCAUGACUAGUUAUGUCUGAUCUAGGUCCCAGCCUUUCCUUCCUCAGGUGAUUUCUAGAGUAAAUAAAGGAGAGAAAAUUACAAGUGUGUGUCCUAUCCCUGCUAUGAGAGCCCGCUCCUCUGUUCAAGCUACACUUGCAAUUGCUUGCAUGAGUAAGUAGGGAUUCAACCCUUCAGAGCAAAGAACAAGCAGCACUCAGGCAAUAAUUAAUAUACCAGAAAUCACCUGGGGAGGAGCACGGCACCACUGCCUGCUGAGGAUCGACAGCAAUGGAGUGAGCUUGGAUUGAUGAAGCAGUUAUUUAUGUAGAGGAGGACGGACCUAGAAGCCAAGCAUGAGUUACCCAUCCCCACACUACGCCCAGAGGAGAAUUUGAUCAACUUAAGAAGUUCGGAAGGUAGAAAUAGAAACUACUUCUCCAGGGAGAUGAGAACCAUGACUUGGUGUCCAGAUGAUGAAGCACCAUCAAUAUGGACAAGAGAAAUGAACAAGACUACAGAAAAGGAUGAAUAUGCCCUAAAUAAGUCAGUCUACCUAACAACAACAAGUUGUAUCGUGAAGAAGGAAGUGUUGGUUAGAUACGUCCACAUAAGUACUAAAACAGAUUAUAACGGUGAACUGAAAGUUUAUAUACUGUAGGAAUGAGGGAAGGACUUACUGACAUUGUCAUAAUAUGGUUGAACUUAGGUUAUUUUCGACAAUAGUUUCAUCUCAUUUGCAUAAUACAAUAUUUUCCUGUUGCUGGCACUGGAAUGAGAGAUCUUAGUUAAAGAAUUUGCUGUAAUUUUCAGUAAUUAUUACAUCUAUACAACCUGUUUGUAAUCAAUGAGUUUUUCCUCUGUGGACAAACUUUUGUAUUAUUAAAAAUAUUUGUAUAUGUUGAACAUGUUAAAAAUUUUAAUUUCUGAGGCAGUGUGUCACUGCUAGGGGUUGUGUGAGGCCACCAGGGGCUGUGAGAGGCCACCAGAGGUUGUUUAAGGCCAUGAGGGCUGUGUGAGGCCGCCGGGGGCUGUGUGAAGAUCCCAUGGUUGUGUGAGGCCACCAGCGGCUGUGUGAUGCCACUAGGGUACUGUUCGUGACUACGUGAUGAUGUGUGAGGCUUUUAGAGUGCUAUUUGUGCAUCUGAGGGGCUGCUAAUUGAUGCCUCGAAGGUCUACCUGAUGCUCCAUUGGGGCUCGGUGAUGCUGCCAGGGCUUGUGGGAGACUACCAGGGGCUGGAUGAGGUUGCUAGUUGUGUACAGCUAGUUGGGGCUUUUGAUGCCAUAAGAUGACACUAGUUGCAGUGACAGCCUUUACUCACUAGAGGCUGUCUGUCACUACUAGACACUGUGAGCUGCCAGGGGCUGGGUAAGGCUUCUCUGGUUGAGCACUUACUAGUGGUAGGCAAAACACGUCGACCAGGCUUGUAGCCUUGCAUGAUCCAGGUUAGGUCACUAUAAAGGGUGAACUAACCUGGUCCACAGCCUCUCGUGUGUCAUUCAAUAAAAAUUUUGCAACUAUUUGUAGUAACUUAUUUGUACCAUGUAUAUAAAAAUAAUUAUUAUUUUUCA